GGAAGAGCAAAGUGCUAGAGGCAUGAGACUGUGCAGUAUUCUGGCUUGGCAGAGUUCAGCAUUGUUGGUAGAACAGGAUUGAAGGAGUGGUGAGAGAAGACACAGAAAAAGAAUGAAGAACCUUAUACAAUAUGCUAAGGAAUGUGGACUCUUUUCUAGAAGCAAUGGAAACUCAUGCCAGGACUGUAAGCAGAUGAAAUUUUCAUAAGAUACGUAUUUUAGAAAUGCAUUUUCUGCAUUUAAAAAAAGAUAAGAGCCCGAACUAAGGCAUCAGCGGUGGCAGGAGACUAAACUGAAGAGUGCAAAAGAGAGAGCAUAAAUGGGGAGCAGGAGAGGGAGGAACAGGCUCCUUAUUGAGCUAGGAGCCAGAUACAGGCUCCAUCCCAGGACUCCAGGACCACGACCUGAGCUGAAGUAGACGUUUAACCAACUGAACCACCAGCAGGGCCAGAGGUCCUCGAAAGAGCAAGACGUGGAUUGGAGGAGAACCUACUGGCAUCUCUAUGUCUGCCACUGCUGCAUCUAGCCACGAUGGCCUGCGGAGAGUAAUGGCGGCUGCUUUACUUCUGCAUUCCGUAUCUCACAUGAAUUCCACUUUUGGCCAAAUCAAACCCAGAACCAUAUAGGGAAGUGGCUUUUUGGGAACCUAGGUCUAACCUAGCCAGGUUUUUGCAGUACAAAUCACCAUAUGAGUCAUUUUCAAAAUGCAGUUAUUAAGAGUUCAGAACCCAUGAAGAUGUUGUGAAAAGUAGAUGAGACCAAAAACAUAAAAGGAAAGCACUUAUCACAGUGUCUGGCACAUUGUGAACACCCAAUAAAUAAAUUCUCCUUUGUUUUCAAUCCAUUUCCUCUUACGUUUAUCUUCUACCUAAGCACUACUACCAGAUUUCUCACUGUCAUUGGCAUUGUAUCACCAAUGUUCAGGAUUAUUAGUAAAUGAUGUGGGAAGUGUUACAAUAAAAUAGAUAUUAUUUAUUGAGUAUUUAGUAGGUUACAUCCACGGCACCUUUGUAUGCAUCAACACAUAUGAUGCUUACAACAACCUUAUGAGCUAGGUACCAUCGCCAUUCACAUUAAAAGUUGAGGAAAUUGAAGUAAAAAGAUUAUUUACUUGGCCCAAACCUCACAGGAUUUAAACACAGUACCUGUUUGUUUACAGUGGAAUAAUGUAAGCCCAACCAUUUUAAAUACUCUGUUCCCAUUAGAAGUGGGAAUACCACCUGUAGGAGAAUUAUCUUCAGGCAUACAGCACCUUCAAAACUUGCAAAGGAGGGAAUCCCUGGGUGGCUCAGCAGUUUAGUGCCUGCCUUCGGCCCAGGGCAUGAUU